GAUGAAGAACGCAGCGAAAUGCGAUAAGUAAUGCGAAUUGCAGAAUUUCCGUGAGUCAUCGAAUCUUUGAACGCACAUUACGCCCACUGGUAUUCCGGUGGGCAUGCCUGUUCGAGCGUCAUUAUCCUCCCUCAAACCCCGGGUUUGGUGUUGGACCCAAGUUGUGUGAACAACUGGUCUCAAAGACAAUGACGGCGUCCGUGGGACCCUCGGUGCAACGAGCUUUUAGGAGCACGCAUCGAGUUGCAAGGACCUUCCGGGCCGGUCUCCUUUACCAUUUUACAAGGUUGACCUCGGAUCAGGUAGGAAUACCCGCUGAACUUAAGCAUAUCAAUAAGCGGAGGA
rnacentral:misc_RNA from 1 species